UACGUAGGGGGCAAGCGUUGUCCGGAUUUAUUGGGCGUAAAGAGCGUGUAGGCGGCUUUACAGGUCCGUUGUGAAAACUCGAGGCUCAACCUCGAGACGCCGGUGGAAACCGUAAAGCUAGAGUCCGGAAGAGGAGAGUGGAAUUCCUGGUGUAGCGGUGAAAUGCGCAGAUAUCAGGAAGAACACCCGUGGCGAAGGCGGCUCUCCGGGACGGUACUGACGCUGAGACGCGAAAGCGUGGGGAGCGAACAGG
rnacentral:rRNA from 1 species